rnacentral:rRNA from 1 species
AGCAGCCGCGGUAAUUCCAGCUCCAAUAGCGUAUAUUAAAGUUGUUGCAGUUAAAAAGCUCGUAGUUGAAUUUCGGGAUCAAUAUGUUGGUCGUGCCUUGGUACGUACUGGCAUUAUUGGUUUCUCCCUUCUGACGAACCACGAUGUCAUUAAUUUGGUGUCAUGGGAAAUCAGGACUGUUACUUUAGAAAAAAUUAGAGUAGUUUAAAGCAAGCUCGCGCUUGAAUACAUUAGCAUGGAAUAAUAGAAAUAGGACGUUUGAUUCUAUUUUGUUGGUUUCUAGGAUCGACGUAAUGAUUAAUAGGGAUAGGUUGGGGGCAUUAGUAUUCAAUUGUCAGAGGUAGAAAUUCUUGGAUUUAUUGAAGACUAACU